AUUGAACGCUGGCGGCAUGCCUUACACAUGCAAGUCGAACGGUAACAGGUUAAGCUGACGAGUGGCGAACGGGUGAGUAAUGUAUCGGAACGUGCCCAGUCGUGGGGGAUAACUGCUCGAAAGAGCAGCUAAUACCGCAUACGACCUGAGGGUGAAAGCGGGGGAUCGCAAUACCUGGCGCGAUUGGAGCGGCCGAUAUCAGAUUAGGUAGUUGGUGAGGUAAAGGCUCACCAAGCCGACGAUCUGUAGCUGGUCUGAGAGGACGACCAGCCACACUGGGACUGAGACACGGCCCAGACUCCUACGGGAGGCAGCAGUGGGGAAUUUUGGACAAUGGGCGCAAGCCUGAUCCAGCCAUGCCGCGUGCGGGAAGAAGGCCUUCGGGUUGUAAACCGCUUUUGUCAGGGAAGAAAAGGUUCUGGCUAAUACCUGGGACUCAUGACGGUACCUGAAGAAUAAGCACCGGCUAACUACGUG
rnacentral:rRNA from 1 species